GACGAACGCUGGCGGCGUGCUUAACACAUGCAAGUCGAACGGAAAGGCCCUGCUUUUGUGGGGUGCUCGAGUGGCGAACGGGUGAGUAACACGUGAGUAACCUGCUCUUGACUUUGGGAUAACUUCAGGAAACUGGGGCUAAUACCGGAUAGGAGCUCCUGCUGCAUGGUGGGGGUUGGAAAGUUUCGGCGGUUGGGGAUGGACUCGCGGCUUAUCAGCUUGUUGGUGGGGUAGUGGCUUACCAAGGCUUUGACGGGUAGCCGGCAUGAGAGGGUGACCGGCCACAUUGGGACUGAGAUACGGCGCAGACUCCUACGGGAGGCAGCAGUGGGGAAUAUGGCACAAUGGGCGGAAGCCUGAUGCAGCAACGCCGCGUGCGGGAUGACGGCCUUCGGGUUGUAAACCGCUGUCGCCUGUGACGAAGCGUGAGUGACGGUAAUGAGUAAAGAAGCACCGGCUAACUACGUG
rnacentral:rRNA from 1 species